ensembl:snoRNA small nucleolar RNA, H/ACA box 58B
GAGCACACCAGUAGACCUUGCCUGACUCUGUCUAUAGUCCAGCAGGGGGGACAGUGUGUGCCAGAGGAAACAGACCUUCGGUGAGCUAUGGCCAGCACCAUCAAUGGCCGGUUGUAUUACAUUACUCUGACAUCU